rnacentral:rRNA from 1 species
GAUCCUGGCUCAGGAUGAACGCUAGCUACAGGCUUAACACAUGCAAGUCGAGGGGCAGCAUUUUAGUUUGCUUGCAAACUAAAGAUGGCGACCGGCGCACGGGUGAGUAACACGUAUCCAACCUGCCGAUAACUCAGGGAUAGCCUUUCGAAAGAAAGAUUAAUACCGGAUGGCAUAGGAUUAUCGCAUGAUGAUCCUAUUAAAGAAUUUCGGUUAUCGAUGGGGAUGCGUUCCAUUUAG